rnacentral:rRNA from 1 species
GACGAACGCUGGCGGCGUGCCUAACACAUGCAAGUCGAGCGAUGAAAUCCCUUCGGGGAUGGAUUAGCGGCGGACGGGUGAGUAACACGUGGGUAACCUGCCUCAAAGUGGGGGAUAGCCUUCCGAAAGGAAGAUUAAUACCGCAUAAUAUUAGAUUUUCGCAUGAAGAACUAAUUAAAGGAGCAAUCCGCUUUGAGAUGGACCCGCGGCGCAUUAGCUAGUUGGUGAGGUAAUGGCUCACCAAGGCGACGAUGCGUAGCCGACCUGAGAGGGUGAUCGGCCACAUUGGAACUGAGACACGGUCCAGACUCCUACGGGAGGCAGCAGUGGGGAAUAUUGCACAAUGGGGGAAACCCUGAUGCAGCAACGCCGCGUGAGUGAUGAAGGUCUUCGGAUUGUAAAGCUCUGUCUUUUGGGACGAUAAUGACGGUACCAAAGGGGGAAGCCACGGCUAACUACGUGCCAGCAGCCGCCGCGGUAA